CCCUCCUUGGAAACGGGGUUCUCAUCUGCGCCUGUCAAUCAAAGUACCAACAAGCAGGGUGUGUUUGCCACCUCUGCCCUCCCUGUGCAGAACAGUCGUCCCAAGCAACAAGUGUACUGUGUGUGGACACACAACUGCAGGCUUUUUACACAAGGUUAAGCAACAAGUUCACUAACAAGCAUUAAGAAUGUCCUAUGAGAGGAUUUUGUCCAUCCAAAAUCUGAACGAGGCUUCAAAUCCUUGGAAGGGCUUCACUAUGAACCGCUGCCUUGUGGUGGCACUGGUGGUGCUGCUUGUGGGUGCAGGGGUCCAUCAAUUUCACAAUGCCGUUGACAUGGUUGUAGAAGAGACAGGGAUAAGGUCUUUCAUCGGAAGUAUUCAAGACGGUUCAAUAACUCAGAUCUCCUUGUGGGACAAGUUCAUGUCGUGGUGGGGAUCAGAAGAACUCGGAGCGAUAAGGAAACGGAAAAAGCCCAUGGGGAGGAAAGCGGUCCUGAAACCUAAAACGGCUAAACAAUGAUGCAUUCGGGUUGAAAAAGGUUAAAAUGGAGAUUUUAACUUUGUAGAAUUCCCAGCAAAAAGGACAGUGAAACAAUUCUCUGACAUCUUGAUACUAUCCUGAAUUAAAAUGUGACAUACUCGCAUGCAUUUAUAUAAUAGA